AUUGAACGCUGGCGGCGUGCUUAACACAUGCAAGUCGAACGCGAAAGGGACUUCGGUCCUGAGUAAAGUGGCGCACGGGUGAGUAACGCGUGGAUAAUCUGCCCUUAUGAUUGGAAUAACAGUUGGAAACGGCUGCUAAUACCGGAUACGCUCAAAAUGAACUUUUUGAGGAAAGAUGGCCUCUGCUUGCAUGCUAUCGAAUAAGGAUGAGUCCGCGUCCCAUUAGCUUGUUGGCGGGGUAACGGCCCACCAAGGCAACGAUGGGUAGCCGAUUUGAGAGGAUGAUCGGCCACACUGGAACUGAAACACGGUCCAGACUCCUACGGGAGGCAGCAGUGGGGAAUAUUGCGCAAUGGGCGAAAGCCUGACGCAGCGACGCCGCGUGAGGGAUGAAGGUUUUCGGAUCGUAAACCUCUGUCAGAAGGGAAGAAACUACGUUGUGCUAAUCAGCAGCGUACUGACGGUACCUUCAAAGGAAGCACCGGCUAACUCCGUGCCAGCCGCCGCAGUAA
rnacentral:rRNA from 1 species